rnacentral:rRNA from 1 species
UUUCCCUACGGGACGCAGCAGUGGGGAAUAUUGCACAAUGGGGGAAACCCUGAUGCAGCAACGCCGCGUGAAGGAAGACGGUUUUCGGAUUGUAAACUCCUUUUAUCAGGGACGAUAAUGACGGUACCUGAAGAAAAAGCUCCGGCUAACUACGUGCCAGCAGCCGCGGUAAUACGUAGGGAGCGAGCGUUGUCCGGAAUUACUGGGUGUAAAGGGAGCGUAGGCGGGACGGCAAGUCAGAUGUGAAAACUGAGGGCUCAACCUUCAGACUGCAUUUGAAACUGCUGUUCUUGAGUGAAGUAGAG